UUAUAGUAUUGCACAAGGAAGUGAUAUUACAGUGGUAAUGGAAGGAGAAGGCUUACUGUUGUCCCUCCAGACUCAGAGGGCUACACUGGCAGCCUUAUCAAAAUGGCAACAACCAGUGGAAGAACAGCACUCUACAUGGUCCCUCUUCAAGAUGAGUUGUGUCUUGAUCCACUUCCAUUCUCAGCAGAGGAGUUUGUCAAGAUGCCAAAGGUGGAGUGUCGGACAUGUCAAACAACCAUGCCAUUACCAGUUUUAUACAUGCAUAUCAAGUCCUGUGGUGGCACACAAUCAGCUGAUGAUGAUGAGAUUACUGAUGAUGAUGAAGUAAAAAUAGUUGCU